AACUGAACUACUGUAACCAGUCGAGAAUAAUCAAUACUGGUUGGAUGCCUGCACUCCUACAAUGGUGGAAGACCUAUGACUUAAUAUUUGUAGGAAGAUUUAAUUUAAAUCUCAUCUUAAUUAGUCAUAACGGUUAUGAUUAACCCUAUGGAUGUGGGCUAACUCAAAUUAUUAAGUAACCACAUCAAGACUAAUUAACCAAAUUGGCUAGGUAAGUGCA
rnacentral:lncRNA from 1 species